CAGGAUUAGAUACCCUGGUAGUCCACGCCGUAAACGAUGUCUACUAGCUGUAGGGGUACUUGAGACCUUUGUAGCGCAGCUAACGCACUAAGUAGACCGCCUGGGGAGUACGGCCGCAAGGUUAAAACUCAAAUGAAUUGACGGGGGCCCGCACAAGCAGUGGAGCAUGUGGUUUAAUUCGAUGCAACGCGAAGAACCUUACCAGGCCUUGACAUCCUCGGAACUUUCUAGAGAUAGAUUGGUGCCUUCGGGAACCGAGUGACAGGUGCUGCAUGGCUGUCGUCAGCUCGUGUCGUGAGAUGUUGGGUUAAGUCCCGCAACGAGCGCAACCCUCACUUUUAGUUGCCAUCAUUAAGUUGGGCACUCUGAAAGAACUGCCAGUGAUAAGCUGGAGGAAGGUGGGGAUGACGUCAAGUCCUCAUGGCCCUUACGUGUUGGGCUACACACGUGCUACAAUGGUAUCUACAACAGGAAGCAAGACUGCGAAGUUAAGCAAAUCCCUAAAAGAUACCUCAGUUCGGAUUGCACUCUGCAACUCGAGUGCAUGAAGCUGGAAUUACUAGUAAUCGUGGAUCAGCGUGCCACGGUGAAUGCGUUCCCGGGUCUUGUACACACCGCCCGUCACACCAUGGGAGUUGGUUCUACCUUAAGGCAAGGUUUCAAACCCUUGACCACGGUAUAGUCAGCGACUGGGGUGAAGUCGUAACAAGGUAGCCGUAGGGGAACCUGCGGUUGGAUCACCUCCUUAGAGUUUGAUCAUGGCUCAGUGCGGUUGGAUCACCUCCUU
rnacentral:rRNA from 1 species